CGGACAGGGGGGUUCCCGCUCUCACCGAACGGGGCCUGUCCGAUCAGGUCACGCUCCAAGGCGUGGCCCAUGGUUGUCGCUCGGGGGUGAUCGCCG
rnacentral:sRNA from 1 species